rnacentral:lncRNA from 1 species
CUCAGAUAGGCUUGACUCAAUAGAGAAUAGUUCCUUUGGGGAGGGAUAAUCUGCAAUUUCCUGAGACUCAGAUAUAAAGGGAUGAGGUGUGUGCAAGGGACUCAUAUUGUCAUGGUGCUGGAAAACAUGACAAGAGGAGGAAAAGAGAACUAGGAACUAACCUGCAAGGGGUACUAGAUGGACUGGAUCCUUGCUGGGAAUGUCUGGCAGCCUCCAUGCCAUGGAUUAUCCAUGAAGAGGAAGACUUUGCCUUAAAUUAGUCCUACUCCUGGGUCCCAUUUGGGCAGACCUCAUCUUGCAUAAGAAGAAUACUGCCUUGGCUGACAGAUUGCUGCAGAAUUAGAUGUGCAGUGAUGAAAGGGCCUCUUUACUUCAGAUACAAAUUACUCAACAAAAUGAAGAUUGUGGAUCUGCCAGGAAGAUGGAAGGAAAGGCAUGGCCCUGAGGUCUAGUUUUCAGUGCUGGGGUUGUUCCUCAACAGUUCUCUACCCAUAGGCUCUGAACUUGAGGAUUUUGUCUCCUACUUCUUUCCUAAUCCUGAUCCUGAUCCUAUUCCUUUGUGCCAUGCCAACAGCAGCUAGGAAGCACCAAGUUCUCCCUGUGUCCUGCACAGGUGCAUUACAGUGCUGCAGAUGGGGCUGCAUAUACUCCUGCUCUACAGAUCUGUCAGCCUGCUCUGCUGCAGCCAGUGCUAAGACUCACCAAAAUCAGAUUCUCAUGUGUGGAGAGUUGCUGAACUGCUACUUCCAGAAUUACAGAAGUUAAACUAGGAGAAACACAGAACCUUUCUAAAAGAAUGCUACACCCAUGUUUCUGAAAACUUUGAACAUUACAAAGUACCGCUGUGCUUUCAAAAGCUCUCCCACCAACAAAUAGCACACAAAAGAAUAUACACUCUACAAUGAAGGGCAGAUGCUCCUUUGUAGAAUAAAUCUUACGACUGGAGAGAGAAACCUGGAAAAAUGUGCAGGAAGUCACUGAGACUCUCUUCAUCCUCUGCUGCCAAGACAAGCAAAGGCAAGAUGUCAAUGGGCUUUAGUCUUGCCCUUCCCAUCCUGAAGGUGUGACCCCUAAUGCACACCCCAGCAGUCUGCAGGAUGUCACUGACAAAAGCACCUUAUUAUGCAGAAUGCUUAAGAGUCUUUUGAAGGGCUGGGAUUUUGGAGCUCAGAAAGAUGAUCUUCAUCACCUCUUUGCCAGCAUGUGUCCUACUAAUCCACUAAGGUGUGUAUAUUCAUGAGCUUUCUAUUGUGUCCCAAGGUUUCUAACUGGGUAUGUGGAGGUCUGUGCUGAGAAAAUGACAAAAUAAGGGA